UGCACACCACCCUCCUCAACUCCUAAGGCAAGCAUCUUGAACCCUGGUUUGUUUGGUUUGUAUAAUGUUUGCUGUGAUGAAAUGGACUUAGUUGUUUCGAUAUGCUGAUAAAAACCACACAUAAGAUCAUGCUUGCAUGAAUGCAUGUGAUGAAUAUUUGGUUUGUUGCUAAAUACUUGUGAUGCAAAGGUGAGUGGGUACUCCUCAUGCCUCAUAUGCCAUGCUGGUCUGGACAACCUCAGAGGGAGGUUUUUCGUGGAUAUUGUGUGACCAUGGACUGACAUCUUGUGGCACGAGAGUGGUCAGUUAGUGCAUACCGAGAUGUGGUGGUGGUAACACUGAGGCUUAUCAAUCACAAAAAUUGUGUGAUACCAACCUUGCAAGAAGUCUUAAACCUCUUAAGUCGACCGUUGAUAGAGUCUUGUCAGUAAGUCACCUUACCCUUUUGUGCUACCAUGCGUCUUCCCAAGAGGGAAUAUAGUUGAGUAAUACGUAAACCUAUUAUUAGGCACACACCAAGUAGAGGGGCCAGGAUGAAGGUAUCCAUUGCCCUAGACUAAAUCCAGUCAUCCGGUUAGGGGGCUUGGGUAUUUUCCGGUCCGGGACCGAGAGCGAAUGGCCAUUCCCUUGUAGUGCGCUAUAUAAAUGUGAUCACAUGCUAUUCGAGGGUGUUGGCCUCCCCGUCUCAUGGUUUUUUACCAGGCGACGUAGUCCGGGUGAUACCCGUCUAUGCGGUGAUAAAAAUGGGUGUGUACUGGUUGUGAGUGUAUACCUCUAAAAUACUGUAUGCGAGAUUAGUCCGAGUGACUAUUGAACCCCGUGGGCUGUGGGUAAAGAGUACAACCUUUGCGGAGUCAAAACUAUUCGAGUAGCCAUGUCCACGGUCAAGGACGACUGGUUUACUAGUGAGGUGUCGGUCUGAGUGUCGGUCUUCGGAGGAAAUUAAACUGAAAAUGGAUGGACCCUAUAAACCAUGAUGUUAAGUAUUAUUAUUAUUAGUAUUAUUAUGAAUUCUAGUUUGAACUAAUCAUAUGUGAUGUAUGGAAUUGUUAGAGUAUCCUUGGGACGGUUCUACCUCCUGGAUACUCGGUGUUGAUAUUUUGUAAGCCCUUUCUGCGGUGUCGCUUAGACGCCUGACUAGGGAAACUGUUAUUUCUUUCAUAUAUGCCCUUUCUGUGGUGUCGCUUAGACGCCCGACUGUGGCAACUAUUAUUUCUUUCAUAUAAGCCCUUUCCGUGGUAUCGCUUAGAUGUCCGACUAUGGCAAUUGUUAUUGCUUUUAUGUGAGACCUUUAGGUCGUGUCGCUCCGACGCCCCAUUGUGGCACACAUGCUAUUUCAUCAUAUAAGCCCUUUUUAUGGUGUCGCUCCAGACGGCCAACUAUGGCAUGUUUAGUAAUAUUCCAUUGACAAGUCACUUUUUUGUGGUGUCGUUAAGACGCCGACUAUGGCUUGUGUUACUUGUCUUUCCGAGGCGUCGCCUCAUACGCCCAAUCGACAAGCUUAUAAUUGAUUAUUACCCUUCCUUGCUUGUUUAGACAACAUUGGUGGAAUUGAUUUAUCUGCAUGAAUGCUUCCGUGAAUUAAUCCCGAUGGCAUGAUAAGUUUAUUAAGUGAAUUAUGCAUGUCUCUCACCUGCUUUAACUUAUUCUUUUUAUUGAUGUUUGUGAGUACAUUCAAAGUACUCACUGGCUUGUCCCUAGCUCUUGUCUUAGCCAGAUUCCAUCGGAGAGGAGCACAAUGUCAUCAACACGGAGAUCUAGGAAUCGAGGAUAGCAGCUUUGUGAGAUAGGAAUUUAUCCAGGUGAGAUGUUCAUGUGGAAAUGGAGUCCAUGGGCACUGGAGAUUCCUCGAGUCGCCUCCGCCGCCAACCGCACACUAUGUUCAACCUGGUGGAGCUUUAUG
rnacentral:lncRNA from 1 species